rnacentral:rRNA from 1 species
GACGAACGCUGGCGGCGUGCUUAACACAUGCAAGUCGAACGAAAAUACCAAGCUUGCUUGGUUGAUUAGUGGCGAACGGGUGAGUAACACGUGAGUAACCUGCCCCUUACUUUCCUGGAUAACUGCUCGAAAGGGUAGCUAAUACGGGAUAUUCUGACCAGCCUGCAUGGGUUGGUUUGGAAAGGUUGUUUUUCUGGUAAGGGAUGGGCUCGCGGCCUAUCAGCUUGUUGGUGGGGUGAUGGCCUACCAAGGCUUUGACGGGUAGCCGGCCUGAGAGGGUGGACGGUCAGAAUGGGACUGCGAUACGGCCCAGAAUCCUACGGGAGGCAGCAGUGGGGAAGAUUGCACAAUGGGCGCAAGCCUGAUGCAGCGACGCCGCGUGAGGGAUGAAGGCCUUCGGGUUGUAAACCUCUUUCGUCAGGGAAGAAGGCACUGCUUUUUUGGUGGUGUUGAGGGUACCUGGAGAAGAAGCGCCGGCUAACUACGUG